CGUGUGGUUCUAUUUUGUUGGUUUCUAGGACCGCCGUAAUGAUUAAUAGGGACAGUCGGGGGCAUCAGUAUUCUAUUGUCAGAGGUGAAAUUCUUGGAUUUAUUGAAGACUAACUACUGCGAAAGCAUUUGCCAAGGAUGUUUUCAUUAAUCAGGAACGAAAGUUAGGGGAUCGAAGACGAUCAGAUACCGUCGUAGUCUUAACCAUAAACUAUGCCGACUAGGGAUCGGACGGUGUUAUUUUUUGACCCGUUCGGCACCUUACGAGAAAUCAAAGUGCUUGGGCUCCAGGGGGAGUAUGGUCGCAAGGCUGAAACUUAAAGAAAUUGACGGAAGGGCACCACCAGGGGUGGAGCCUGCGGCUUAAUUUGACUCAACACGGGGAAACUCACCAGGUCCAGACACAAUGAGGAUUGACAGAUUGAGAGCUCUUUCUUGAUUUUGUGGGGUGGUGGUGCAUGGCCGUUCUUAGUUGGUGGAGUGAUUUGUCUGCUUAAUUGCGAUAACGAACGAGACCUUAACCUGCUAAAUAGCCCGUAUUGCUUUGGCAGUACGCUGGCUUCCUAGGGGGACUAUCGGCUCAAGCCGAUG
rnacentral:rRNA from 1 species